GCUGGCGGCAUGCCUACACAUGCAAGUUCUUUACGGAAAACGAUGGGAGCUUGCUCCCAGGCGUCGAGUGGCGGACGGGUGAGUAACACAUAGGAAUCUGCCCAGUAGCGGGGGACAACCUGGUGAAAACCAGGCUAAUACCGCAUACGCCCUACGGGGGAAAGCAGGGGAUCUUCGGACCUUGCACUAUUGGAUGAGCCUAUGUCAGAUUAGCUUGUUGGUGGGGUAAUGGCCUACCAAGGCGACGAUCUGUAGCUGGUCUGAGAGGACGAUCAGCCACACUGGGACUGAGACACGGCCCAGACUCCUACGGGAGGCAGCAGUGGGGAAUAUUGCACAAUGGGGGAAACCCUGAUGCAGCAAUGCCGCGUGUGUGAAGAAGGCCUGCGGGUUGUAAAGCACUUUCAGUGGGGAGGAAACAGUUACGGGUUAAUAUCCCGUAGCCUUGACGUUACCCACAGAAGAAGCACCGGCUAACUCUGUGCCAGCAGCCGCGG
rnacentral:rRNA from 1 species